UGGGGAAUUUUGGACAAUGGGCGAAAGCCUGAUCCAGCAAUGCCGCGUGUGUGAAGAAGGCCUUCGGGUUGUAAAGCACUUUUGUCCGGAAAGAAAUGGCUCUGGUUAAUACCUGGGGUCGAUGACGGUACCGGAAGAAUAAGGACCGGCUAACUACGUGCCAGCAGCCGCGGUAAUACGUAGGGUCCAAGCGUUAAUCGGAAUUACUGGGCGUAAAGCGUGCGCAGGCGGUUGUGCAAGACCGAUGUGAAAUCCCCGAGCUUAACUUGGGAAUUGCAUUGGUGACUGCACGGCUAGAGUGUGUCAGAGGGGGGUAGAAUUCCACGUGUAGCAGUGAAAUGCGUAGAGAUGUGGAGGAAUACCGAUGGCGAAGGCGAGCCCCUGGGAUAACACUGACGCUCAUGCACGAAAGCGUGGGGAGCAAACAGGAUUAGAUACCCUGGUAGUCCACGCCCUAAACGAUGUCAACUAGCUGUUGGGGCCUUCGGGCCUUGGUAGCGCAGC
rnacentral:rRNA from 1 species